rnacentral:tRNA from 1 species
GGUUCCAAAGUGUAGCGGUUAUCACGUCUGCUUUACACGCAGAAGGUCUCCAGUUCGAUCCUGGAUGGAACCA